GUAAGGGAGAGGUAGGUAGGGGGUAAGAGAAGAGAUUAUUAAUUCAACUGGCGACAACACAAGCAAUGCGAAGAGCAACCAACGCUAAAUCAUCUAAAACGGUCAAACAUCUGUUAUUGUUUUGCAACCAGUAAAUGCAUCAUUUUAAGAGCUUCGAGGUCAUAUUGACAACAACACAAUCUGGCAAUGCAACAAGAAGUUGGGUGGAAGUAUUUUGUCAAGACAUGUCUGCUUCAAUCAAGUUGUGUGACAUUUAGAGAGAGCAAAACAACAGGCGAGUGACAGGAGGGCUGAGCAGAGUACGUUGCCUCAUAACAGUUUUUUUCUUUCCCCCCAACUUUCACUUUGUGAUGAAAUAUUUUGGACAUGGACAUUUUGGUAGGUUUUUUUUUGGAAAUCUCAGAGUAAAAGAUCAUUCUACAUUCUUUGAGGGAUACAGAUCAAGAGUACAGUUUUGGCAAUGUUAGCCUUGCUAUUAUUGCUAAUUGCUAAUAUACUAAAGCUGGGUCAGAAGGUAAUCUUUAGAAUUUUACUCCUUAAAACCCUGCUGAAUGACGACUGCUUUCUGACACAGGACAGGUGAAAGUUUUCCAAAAAAGCGCAGACUUUAAAUGAGCCACAAAAUGGCGAACUGCAUGUCUGCAAUGAGCCCAGAAAAGUCAAAGACGUGAAAUCAAAAUAUUACCAAAUUUCAAUUUUUGUCUGUUAUUUUAGAGGCAAUACAUUCAAUUCAGUUUAAAAAUCCGGAAGUUUAGGUAUUUCAUUGAAAAGUUAAGGAGAAAAUAGAAGAAAGGUCAACACAAGACUGAGAUUACUGGCGCGAAUUUGUGUGCUUAUUGUUCAGUAGGCAGGCGAGCCACCUCCACACAGUGAUGACGCUCCUUGGGGAAUCUGUAGGAGGAAAAAAUCUUCAUCGAAGAGAAACGCAACGAGGAAAUGAAACAGGAUAAAGAGAGGCUUCAGGCUUUGAAUGAGUAAAGUUAUAUUCUUCUGUGUAUUUUAUUCACCUAUAAUCUUUUCCUUUAGUUUUUCAGGAGAUCAUCCUAUUUCAUUCAUGUUGAAAAUCAUUUGUUAGAAGCUUCAUAAAAAAAAAAAAAAGUAUGAAUGUUACUGGAAACCACCCAAAAAUCGGAUUAUAGAUUGCAGCCUUUGGCAUCGCCAUCACUUAGCCGUUUCAUGGAUGCAGAUGCAGCUGUUAAACAUUAAUUCAAGUGACUCACUUGAGCAACACUUAUGAAUGGCAGGUGUGUGUGUGUGUGUGUACUCUGCCUGUUCUCACACAGCCUGAGAAAAUGCGACUGUGCUACAUGUAAACGUGCGUGCCAGCGGUUGAGCCUCUGGAAGACUUUUACUGCUCUCCGUUUAUAGGAAGCAUGUGUUCACGCUUACCAUGCGAGCGAAGAAAACAAUGUAAUUCCCAGAAACGCUGACACUUCGGGCAUUGUGAAGAAACCAUUAAAGUCGUGUCCACUGACGUGAUUAGCGUGACUGAAUAAAAUCGCUGCCUUUGGACAAUGUGAGCGUCCGAUUUAAGAUUAUAUGAUGGAUUCGUCAUGACGGAGCACAAUAAAAUGUCAAUUUGUACCUUA